rnacentral:lncRNA from 1 species
CCCUUUUUUGGGUGGUUGUUUCGGCAAAACACCAUUCGUGCCCCCCGAAAAAAAUACUCUAGAAGCCGCUCCGGUUCCGGAACAGGACGGAACGUCUGAUGAAUCGCUAUCGAUUACAAUCGUUUGAUGCGGCAUCACUUCGUCUUCUUCAUCCAAUUCUAUUGGGGCUGGCUCAUUCUCGUCCCAUUCACGCUGGAUCCGCUAUUACUCUUCCCAUUCACGCUCAGCCAAUUCUCUCUCGACCCUCUCGCUCUCCAAUAUUUAUCCAAUAUUACUCUCCAAUUUAUCUUAUUCGUUCGUAUCUUAUUCGUAUUUCAUUAGUCAUUACCAUACCUUCAUUUUAUGUUAGGUAUCACAAAAUACUCCUGAUCGCCUUCUGUCUUCGAGUCAUCUCUUUUAUUUUGCGCCAUGCUUACGCUAACAUUGGCAAGGAUCGGGUUGUUAAGGCCCUAUCGCAGUGACAUCGGGGCCUUGUUUAUAGGUACAUCAUGGACUGUGGUAUCGUCAAGUGCAAUAACGCUCAAGUAUGGUGGAUGUACCUUCUAUAAGGAUAUAGAAAGUAUUCCGUCGGUUUCAUUCACAUCCUGGCACCCCAAGCUUUCGGCUUGGGAUUUCAAGAGAUCUAGACUGUUUUGCGAUGCGGUGUUUGGUAACAAUAUCCUACUUUCCGGGAGUCAUCAAACUCGAGCCUCUCAGGGACAAGGCGGCCCUGAGGGGCCCUGGAAUGCCGCUAGAAAAUGAGGCCUCUUGGUGAAUGUUGUCAGUAUCAUAGUUACUGUAUUGUUCUAAAUGGUGACACCGUUAAAAGUAAUCUACGAAAUUUAAUUAAGCAUAAAGGAAAUGAUGACCUUGCUUGAACUGUGGAUGUUUCGAAAAAUUUUGGUGCUCCAAUUGGUGGAAAAAGAAAAAUGGCUUUAGUUUCCCAGCAAACAGCAGCCCGGCAUCAGCAGCCAGCACCGCCGAUUCAUCGUCAAAAUCCCCAAACAACAACAACAACUCGUCUUCUUCUUCAACAGCAGCCACAACAACAACCUCAAAUGCUUCAAUGACAUCCAGCAGUAGUUGCCCGGCUAGUUGCACCCAGUGCGAUCACAUGACGUGAACCACCGCCAAUCAUUUCACGUCCAAACUUCCAGCAGCGGCCUAGGCCUGACGAGUUCGACGGCGGCGCGGUCUUCGAGUUUGGCGAUGAGGACGUCGACGUCGUAAACCAUCGUAACGCUGGCUUCGACUUGACUCUGCUGGUAUACGUACGUGAUGCAAAGUACGUGAAAAAAUUGUCAGACAAACGUACUAAAAGGCAGCGUACAACGGUCAUGUUUCCAGAAAGCGAAUCUUACGCAGACCGAGGAAUACAUGAGGUUUACGCCUUUAUAUUCAUAUGAUACAAGAAAUCACAAUCGCAACGAAAUGCUACGUUUGAUGAAUAUUACUUAUCAAAUCCGACGCGAUUUUUAUUGCGUGCAUUUAUUUUUUAUUUUUACGCGAAAUUGGUACAGUGUACCAAUUUCGCCCGCUAUUAGCAUUGCGCUACAAGAUUUUAGUUUUUAUUUUUUAAUUAGUAACCUAGUUGCUGUUGUCUUAAGUUUUUCGGAGGGGGGUUCAAAACAUAACUGGGAACAUAAAAAAUGCGCCAUCCCUUUAUUUACAUUUCUCUACCCCCUGGAACUGGCGCCAACUGUACCAAUUUCGCCGAGCGAAAGUUGGGGCGGUUGCCGUGCUUUUCUUAUGGCGCUGCAAAAAAAGGACCUUGUUUUAAAAAAUAAUAAAAAAUGGCCGCUAGACUUACGCCCUUCUUGAUUUUAGCAAAAGAUGAAGAAUAAGUUCAUCUUCAUUUUAAGUAAUUCAAUUUGUUUUGUUUUUUUGUUUAAGUUUAGGGGUCAAAAAAGAAUAUUUAGAAAAAAACGGCUUAAUUUCCCGUCUCUGAACAAGAAGUUUCUAUGCCUACUAGGCUACUAGAGAGACUCAUCAUUCGGGGAAAAUUUUGCCGUUUUUUUCUAAAUAUUCAUUUUUUUGCAACAUAAGUUAAAGUUAAACAUAAGGUUAUGAACAACACUAAACAUAUGUAAAAAUUGUCAUCUGAACACAUCCACCCUGCAAUAAAAGUAUUUACUUUU